rnacentral:rRNA from 1 species
UACGUAGGGGGCAAGCGUUGUCCGGAAUCAUUGGGCGUAAAGCGCGUGUAGGCGGCUCGGUAAGUCUGCUGUGAAAGUCCAGGGCUCAACCCUGGGAUGCCGGUGGAUACUGUCGAGCUCGAGUCCGGAAGAGGCGAGUGGAAUUCCUGGUGUAGCGGUGAAAUGCGCAGAUAUCAGGAGGAACACCAAUGGCGAAGGCAGCUCGCUGGGACGUGACUGACGCUGAGGCGCGAGAGCGCGGGGAGCGAACCGG